rnacentral:rRNA from 1 species
GACGAACGCUGGCGGCGUGCCUAAUACAUGCAAGUCGAGCGGAAGUUGGAGAGCUUGCUCUUCAACUUUAGCGGCGGACGGGUGAGUAACACGUGGGCAACCUGCCCUGCAGAUCGGGAUAACUCCGGGAAACCGGUGCUAAAACCGAAUAGUUUUCGCCACCUCCGGGUGGCGUACGGAAAGACGGUUUCGGCUGUCACUGCCGGAUGGGCCCGCGGCGCAUUGGCUAGUUGGUGGGGUAACGGCCCACCAAGGCGACGAUGCGUAGCCGACCUGAGAGGGUGAUCGGCCACACUGGGACUGAGACACGGCCCAGACUCCUACGGGAGGCAGCAGUAGGGAAUCUUCCGCAAUGGACGAAAGUCUGACGGAGCAACGCCGCGUGAGUGACGAAGGUUUUCGGAUCGUAAAACCCUGUUGUGAGGGAAGAACAAGUACCAACUAACGUCUGGUACCUUGACGGUACCUCACCAGAAAGCCACGGCUAACUACGUGCCAGCAGCCGCCGUAACAC